rfam:Schistosoma mattheei strain Denwood, Zambia genome assembly, scaffold: SMTD_scaffold0003581
AGCUUCCCGAAUCCGUGCUGAGAUUCGUCAGACACCAACCCAUUAGGGCUGAUCAGACUUCCAAGAUAAGUGAAGUU